rnacentral:rRNA from 1 species
AAUGAACGCUGGCGGCGUGCCUAACACAUGCAAGUCGUACGAGAAAGGGGCUUCGGCCCUGAGUAGAGUGGCGCACGGGUGAGUAACGCGUGGGUAAUCUACCCUUGGAUUUGGGAUAACUCUGCGAAAGUGGAGCUAAUACCGGAUAGUCUGGCUUUAAUUGAUAAGUCGGUAAAGGAUGCCUCUGCAUAUGCAUUCGUCCGAGGAUGAGCCCGCGUCUCAUUAGCUAGUUGGUAGGGUAAUGGCCUACCAAGGCAACGAUGAGUAGCUGGUCUGAGAGGAUGAUCAGCCACACUGGAACUGAAACACGGUCCAGACUCCUACGGGAGGCAGCAGUGGGGAAUAUUGCGCAAUGGGCGAAAGCCUGACGCAGCAACGCCGUGUGAGGGAUGAAGGCUUUCGGGUCGUAAACCUCUGUCGGAAGGGAAGAACGGGCAUUGGUCUAAUAGGCCUUUGUUUUGACGGUACCUUUAGAGGAAGCACCGGCUAACUCCGUGCCAGCAGCCGCUGUAAUAC